UGGGUUGUGGCUUAGUGGUAGAGCACUUGCCUAGCAUGUGUGAGACACUGAAUUCGAACCUCAGCACCACAU
rfam:Ictidomys tridecemlineatus contig003315, whole genome shotgun sequence.